UACAGAGGGGGCAAGCGUUAUUCGGAAUUAUUGGGCGUAAAGGGCGCGUAGGCGGCUUGGCAAGUGGAAGGUGAAAUCCCUCGGCUUAACCGAGGAACUGCCCUCCAAACUGCUUCGCUUGAGACCGGGAGAGGUGAGUGGAAUUCCCAGUGUAGCGGUGAAAUGCGUAGAUAUUGGGAGGAACACCAGUGGCGAAGGCGGCUCACUGGACCGGUACUGACGCUGAUGCGCGAAAGCGUGGGGAGCAAACGAG
rnacentral:rRNA from 1 species